GAGGUUUGUAUUGAAAGUAUUUUGUGAUAGUUUAUGGUGGGUCAUGUGAUUUGGGCGGUAUUGAUUGCUUAUUUUAGGCACCUGUUCAUGCAGUGUCAGUUGGAGCAGAGAGGAUUGCUGAGUUUUUGGUUCUCUUGCGUGCUUCGCUUUAGUUUGUUUCCCUUAGUGUUCUUCUUUUAUUGUUAAAGAUUUAAAGUUCUUUUCUGUCUCAGUGAAUCACUGUUUUUGUGGAAGGCGUCACAAAAGUAUUCAGGUCCAGUCUCACCUUCUCAGCAACUUUUCAUUUGAUCCUGAAGUUGCUUAAAUUUGCCAACAAAAAUCCAUCUAUGGAAGAACCUCAACAUGGAGCAUGGCAUCAAGGAUGGAGAGGAUUAAAGUCAGCAGAUGUGGAUCCAGACACGGAGGUGUGGUGAACCAGGAUGAGAUCUAAAACCUGCAGGACACCGGCUCUGGAGGACUAAGGUUCCCUACCCCUGCUCUACAGCCACAGACUCUGGUCAGGAGAAGAGAUUUUCCAGUGCCUACUCUCCUGGGUUCAGGUGAGUGAAGUGGAACAGGUACAUCCUAAUGCAGUUUAUGAACACAUGACUGGUUAUCAUGUUCAACUCUCACUGAGCCUGACAUCAGUGUGGUUGUUAAUGCUGCAAAACAGGAUGGUUUAAACACAUGCUUCGAAACCUCUGCAACAAACCACCUGCUCCAGCAGAGAUACUUAAACCAGUUUUGUGUUCCAGUCUGUGAAGCUGCAAAAAUGGCAGACUGGAAGACUCAGAUGGCUUUCAUCAAUCUGAAUCAGAAUCUCAACAGGCGAAGACUUGUUGUCAGAACUGAAGGAGGAAGUUUAGGAAAACCAGCACAUGAUGUAGAGAAAUUUCAGCACUGUGGCUCGACAGGAGCAGGUCCUGCCUUACCUGAACACCUUUGUCAGUGAUGGAGCUUCCUGUUUGUAUCCAAACACUGGGUCAGUUAAAGAGGGUGGGGGAGUAGAGAAAGGCCACUUCCUCACAUGUGUUGGUGUAGCUGAAGCUGUAGAAGUUAAAUAUUGCACAGUACUGUGUCAAUAUUUUCUACUAUUGUUUGGUGCAGUUUAUCCAUCUAGAUUAUUUUGGUAUGGACAACCCACUUUUGUAGUUUUCGCUGAGCUCUCUCUGAAAAGUAACGUUUCCAUCCUAAAGAAAUCCAGACUGUGUUACAGAUCUACUGACCUUGUAGGAAUUCUUUUCUUUCCUCUGAACUACAUCUGCUAACCAUAUCAGUGUCCUGGAGGAAGCACGUAAAGGCUUUGAACAAGAAGCUUGACUUCAUGACAGGCUUCAUGCUUCUUUGUAGUUGGCAGGUGUAGACACUGCACCAGAUUUCUGAGUUUCAACAAAUUCAUGCAUUUCAAUAAUAUUUGGGACUAGAAAAGGUGGCAGUCAAGAAACAGGCAGUGCUUCAUUUAACAAAGUCAAUAUUUACAGCAGAAAAGAUGCAGGUCUAGAUCAUUGGCCUUAAAUAUUUAUUAAAAACCCUGGACUAACCUCCAGCCUUAAAGUCUGUCAUUUCAAGAAACAUGAACAGAACAUUUAAAAUGGCUGUCAGAUAAAAUCCACAGCAAACCUGAUAUGCUGCCAGUGCCAACUAGCUUCCAUGUUGGAAAAACACUGAUGUGGAAGUGCUUUAAAUUUCUCUGAAAACCACCAGCAUGUGGUUUCAUAAUCAGACCUCCACACAUCAUAUUUCUGCCAUAUUGUUUUUGAGACCAGUAUAGCAAAAAUCCUCAUCUUGAGGCUCCAGAAUGAGAAUUCACAAAUAAAAGGGGCAGUAACAGCAGCUACAGCCAUCUUUAUGCUGUUAGCAAGGCUCUCCACUUUGUGUAGAAACUUGCACUGUGAAGUCCGGGGUUGCUUACAUUCAAUGCGGUGCUGAAGACACUGGUGUUGCAAUCAUCAUCUACAUUAGUUCUACAAUUAUUGGAAAAUGAAACAACACAUUUUCAUCUCUUAAUGUAAUAUAAAAAAACCUGUGAUGGUGCUCUCUCAGAUUUUCCAGGAUGUGUUUUGGAUAGACUAAAAUGUAUUUACAAUAGCCAGAGCCGACUGAAUUCAAAUAUUUCUAAAAUCUAAUGGAUUAAAAAUAAAGGACCUAAAAUUUACCCUGACUUCUAUUUACUAAAAGAGAUCAAAUCUGAGACUCUGCUAUGUUGAGCUACAUAAAAGCAGAAAUAGUAAAAUUUAAUACAAAAAAGCUGAUAUACAUUAGUGUCUGUAAUUAAAAGAGCAUUAGCAGCUGGCAAGGCUCUCCACUUGCUCCUUCAAAACUUGUAUUGUAUACA